AGAAUUUCUCACUCUUUUAAUCAUAACUCUUUCUACAGAUAUAAUUUCAGAAUAUUUUUGGUAUCAUUAGAAAUUAGACCGAGAGAUCUUUCCAACAAAAUAUAACACGUAAACAUCCAAGUUGAAAAUGGCUACAAACCAAUCAUACCAUAUUUAUACUGAAUCAAACCAUUUGAAUUGAACUAGGAAUAAGGUUGUUGUAGGCUAAACCGAAGGUCAUUGCAUGCUCUGUGAUUUACAAUAGACCAUGUAGUCAACCAUAGAGGAGCCUAUGAUCACUGCUGGAGCAGUGUUAUGACCCUUUUUGUGCAUUCUAAGUACGUAAGGUCGAAGUUUUCUCGAACUUAUUUUUCCCUUAAGUUUAAAAUAUUCUUAUUUUGGAGGCUAAAGAUCUCUUCGAACUUGCUUCCCUAGUUCAAAGAUUUGUUCUCUUCUAGGUUUAACACUUCUUUGAUUUGCUAAACCUCGGUUCAACUUGUUGCUUAUGUUUGGAGUCUCUUUGGUUAUCCAUUUCUCAAGAUCAUGAUUUGACAUUCUUCUUGAAUCUAAAUUCACCAAGCUGAAGCUCUAUACCACAAAGAUAGUGCCCCUGCCUUCUUAGCCAAAGAAGAAGCAAGGGCAGAAUCUGCCUGCCACUAGCCAAAAGGCCAAGGUAUGGAUCUCCAAGUAUCCUAAUCCCUUUGAAUUCAAUAUUCUCUUUAUUUCUUCUUAGACAUCUUUUCUAAAUAUGAUAAAGAAGAAUUAAAAUCAAUCAAUUAAUCAACUUUUUUCCUUAUUAGACAUCAUAACUUGGUAAAAAAGACUUCCAAAAAUAUGAUAAAAGAAGCGUAAAAUCACCUCCAUUUCACAAUGAGUAGAAUUGCAUGGUUUUGAUUUCUAUUCGAAAUGAUAUAUAGGUAAACUUAAUUUAAGUUGCAAACCAAAUUAAUUAAAACUCUCUCUCUCUCUCUCUCUUCUCUUCUUUUUUUCUUUUUUUUUUUUCCGUUUAUUACUUUAGGAGAUAUGUGAGCAUCCUAGAAUCCAAAAAAUGGUAUAAAUAUGUACUCCUUGAAUUAUUUUCUAACUAUUUCUUUUCUUUUCUUUUAUUUAUUGCCUAUUGAGAUUUUAGAUAUACCCAUGCAUAAUAAGUUGUCAUGCAUAUUGUAAGUGUUCAUCCAAAAUUUCUUUCAUGAGUUGACCAAGUUCUAUUUAAGGCUAAAUCUAAAAUUAUUUUCAAUCGAAUAUCUAGUUUCAAUCCUUUUUAGUUUCGUGAAUCAGUAUAUUUUUUUCCAUUGGAAUAACAUUAGAGUCAAACUAAGUUUUUCUUAAAUUUUCUCUUCGAAUCAAAACUUAAAUGAUGACUUCUUAAAAUCAAAUUUUCUUCAUAUUCUCUUAAUAUUUAUUUUACCUUCAUUCUAAAGUCUGCUUUCGAUACAUCAUGUAUGGAGCUAAGUUGUUAAGAUGUGACUGAAUUGUUUACUCAUAAGUAUCACCUCUCUACAAAGGUUCAUUGAUGGCCUAUUCAUGCAACCUAAUUGAUCGUUCUACUAGAUGUACUUCAUCUUUAUUGUUUUCGCCUUGAUUCUUAAUGAAAUAAGCGCGAGGAUGAACAACUUGGACUUCCGCAAUUUGUCCCUAUAGUGAAGCCACAGUUGAAGCUACUCAAAAGUGAGCAUAGGAGAAAUUGGAUCAUCGACAGGGUCAUCGUUG
rnacentral:lncRNA from 1 species